GGGGGGGGUCCGGCGGCGCGGCCCGGCCGGUGCGGCGAGCGGGAGAGCCUGACCUGCAGCUGCUGUAAAUCAAAGCGCUUCCAAUAUUGAAACAUCGAUCCCACAUUGGCCGCCAUCUUGAGACAUAUUGAGACAGAAUGAAAGAGGCUGGAGUUCCUGUCUUCACCCUUUCUCCGCUGCCUCCCUGCUCUACCAGUCUGUUCUGUGUCCAGGCAACUGCAAAAAGACAUUUCAAAGACUCCUGCCGUGCCAUGUAGAUGUUUUCUCUUGUUAGUUUGGACUGCAGGAUCGAGUCCCUUAUUUGCCAUUUUGUGUGGCAGCAAGCCCAAGGAAAUCUUGUUUGACAGCUCUGUUUUCUCAAAGUGCUGUAUUUCUUCGAGCUGGAUUCUGCAAAGAUCCUGCAGGGUACAGAGCUCCUCGGAGCAAGUGAUAAUUUGCUUUGUGCUCCUGCUGAAACGUACCUGGGAAAGACGGAAGAAGGAUCUUGGAAAAUGUGUGCACCCUGGCAACAAGAUGGUUAGAAGAACGUUUUCCUUGAAUUAUUAUGUUUUGAGAAAUCAGCCUCAUCUGUUCAUUUGAGAAGGGUUUUCGUAAGGUUAGAUUUGAUCUGUGUAAAUGCUAACUUCUUUCAACAUGCACUAAUAGAGUACUGAAAAAGUAAGUACAGUGGGUUUGAAGUUUAAAUCUCAGAUGACGGCAGUAACUAAUAGUGCUUCAGGAAUGCUUGCUACAGCCAAAAUACUUGUAAGUAUGUUGUACAGAUUUCUGUUUCAUUUUCACCCAGGUAUAGUCAUACUUGCACUAUUUUAGGAAUUAGGCAAAUACCUGAUUAAAAUUUCUUUCCUAUUAAUGUCACUGUAUCAUAAAGUCCCACUGAUACAAUUAUGCACAUGGGACCAUCAAUGGCAAUUGCUCUUGUUGUGCUUCACAUGUCAUCGUCCGGAAUGGACCUUUAUUCCAAGGGUCCCAAACUUGUCAGAAUCAAUUCAUUGUCACAGCUGCUCCUCUGGGCAGCAGUCUGCAUUCAUUAAGAUAUUUUGGACCAUAAGUCCAAUUUUAAUUUCCAUACUUAAGCUUCUAUUUGCCUUAGGAAUUCUAGCUCAUUUCCUUGGCCAGGACACUGAAAGAUGAGGUGCUGCUUCUCCCAGCAAUGCUGUAACUUUGAGGUUCUUCUCCACAAAUUCGUGGGUUUUCUUCUCUUUCACUUAAUGUGACUCCCAAAUUUCUAUCAGUUCCCACAGAAGAGUUUUUCUGGAGCCUUAUCUGUUCCCAUCUCUGCUCCUUGUCCAGCCCCUUCCCUCCUCACUUUCAUGGCUCUCAUCUUCACAUUUUCUUCAGUUGCUUCUUGUCCCCAGCUGCCUGGCUCCACAUGCCUGUGCCCACUGAAAGGAAUGUCUUGCUCUGAAAUCCCAGCCUUUCCACUGUGAAGGUGUCAUUCUGCUCACUAUUAAACCAGAUUUGAGAGCAAAGCAAGCUCCAUCUCUCGUUAUUACACCAUGCCAUUGCAUAGAGAACUCCAUAGGGAUGGCAGAGAACAGAGACAGCCAGAUAAUUUAUGUUGCUGGGAGAUUUAGUCCAAAUCAAGAUCAAAACCUAUAUAUGUCUUCCAAAUCACAGAUAACUUUUUUCCCCAGUUAUAGCCAUUGACUACAAUUCUGUUUCAUUUAUAUCUGUUGUAGAGCCAAAGGUUUUGCAGCAUAUAAAUUGCAAGGGGAUUGCAAGACAUGGACACAAUGAUAUGUAUGAGUUCGGGAAGCCCCGUGAGCAGAAACUGCUUGGAAGAGUACCAGGGAGAAGUGUCCCAUGUGCCUGCCCACUCUUCCCUGGGUGUCCAUUUGCAGUCACUGGCAGAGACAGGGGACUCAGCCUGAUGGACCAACAUGGGUAUUCCCACAUUCUCUGGUAAUUUGGGAAAGUUUUAGUGCAAAUCAUGUAGAUGGUGGCAUACAUGAUGUAAGCGUGAAAUCCUGUGACUGCUGCAAAGCCACAGAUACACACUGGUAGGUGGAAGAGAAGAAAGCAAUUCUCACAGAGGGCAGGGAAAACAGCCACAAUUAAAAGCAAAGUAAAUUUGGGUGGUGUGGUUACUUGCUGUUUAACUCUGAAGACAUUUAUAAGUACCCAGCAUAACCCACAACAGAUCUUCUUUGAGGAUUUGUGGAUUAACCCAUACCAACAAAAACAUGUGAUGAUAUUGUAGUGGUAAUCUCUUACCAUGUACAGGAGGAGUUCUUGAAGACCCCUAAAGAAUGAAUAUAUCACUGUGCCCAAUGAACUGAGUCAUUCUUUCCACACUGAGUAUGUUUGCAGCAUUUCUGCUUUUCUUAAAGUAAAUUUUAUCCAGAUGCAUGCCAAUGUUUUGGCCAACAUAAGUAGUACCAGUACCCAUAAGCAAUCAAGAGAAUUAGAGAAGGAAAGGAU